CCGUGGUCCUUUUUAGGGGCAAAAACACAUGCGCCCGAGCCAGGGAGCUCAGCUCUGCACCAGGCGCUCGCCCCGACCCCAUCUUCCUCCGCCGCCUCGCCGCACCGGCCGGCAUCACCGGAGAUCACCGCCACCGGGAACAGGUCACGUCGCCGCACCUGCCUUCUCCUUCUCCCUCUUCAUCCUCCCUUCCUCUCACCAUCUCUCUCUCCCUCCCAUUGCAGCGCCGCCAUGGCUGUCCCGAGCUUUGCCGGCAGCCGCGCCGCGUGAAUCCGGCCGGAUCUAGCCGCCCUUGCCCAGAUCCGCAUCCUCCGCUCCGCCGCGCCCCGGAUUCGGCCACUACCAAGCCUCCCAUCCGCCGGCCUUCCCCUGCUCGACUCGGGUGGACGGGCGAAGUUUCUGACUUGCCAUUAUAGUUGACCUGAAGCUCCGUUGUUUAGGACCAUUGCUGCUGCUGUAGGUUAGGGAGAAGGCUCGAGGCAGCCACGAAUUCCGUCCUGCACUACUUCAACACCGACCUAUUCUAGCAUGAAUCUUCUGCCGUGAGGAUUUGAUGCAGCAAGGGCCAUUUGUUUGACAGAAACAGAGUGGUUACCGCAAGAGAGGUACAAAUCAAGGACCGAGGAGGGACGAGGGCGGCUUUGAUCUAAGUUGGGUCACUUUCUAUGAAUAGAUGAUGUGAUUGCUUUGUUAUUUUGUUUAAUUAAUAGAAAAAUUGAUGAGGCAAUUGGAAGAAUCAAGCAGGAAUUUUACUACAUAUCUGCGCCAUUGAUUUGGUCAUCUCUGUCACUAGCAAGUUGCAUAAGAAAGAGUGUGGUGUUGUAGAGGCGUGUAUAGUUGUGAGUCCCUCGAUUAUAAAGCGGAUCCAGGUGAAAGAUGUAGGUGGUGUGCGGAUUGAACUCUAGAUCGGGAACCUACAGUACUAGAUGGACGAUAACUAUGCUUACAAUUGUUGACCGAACACUGUGAGGUAUGUGCCUGUCCCUCUUCCACCCAUAUCAACAUGUAAUUUUGUAAGAAGCUAAUUUAGUGUAGCAAGAACAUCAUAUUUUAGAUACGGUCUGCAGAUCGAUGUACUUUGUCCGUCUUUCCUUCACCAAAGCAUGCGUUGUGAGAUCAUGAUUACUACCAGGUAGUACAACAUUGCAAUUUAUUUUCCAGAAUGUUCCUUGAACACACUCCCAAGUUCCCAACCAUCAGUAAUUAUAGUCUCCUCAAUUCAGAUGCAUAAUUACAUAAUAUUGUUAUACAUGCUGCUUAAGUUGAUCACCAUUAUGCUGUUAAUUGGACCUCAAGAAUAGAGAUGACACCUUACCACAGGCAGCUCUUUAUUUUGUGCACGUUAACUCAAUUCUGAAAGUUGAUUCAAGUCUUUAGUGCUUGAAGUAGAUUCAUAGAAGCUACAAUUCUGUUAGUAUGUGAACAAAAAGCUUAUCUUAUAUGUGUGACCGGAGUUGCAGAAUAUGAAUAGGGGAAUGAUCAUAGAUGCCAACACCUACAGUAUGAUUUACCUUGAUAGAUGUGCAGUGGAUUCGUAAGUAGUUUUAGUGUUUUUUGUAGAUAGCUCAAGUACUUAAGCUUCUGCAAUCAUGAAAAACAAAACAAGGGACCAGUAGUCAGGUUCCAAUACACUGAUGCUUUCUCUGUUAAAAUCUUGACACACAUUAUGAAUCUCAAUAGCUUAAUCGAUUCUAAGCUCAUCAGAAGUAUUUGUUCAGAAUUUGGAUCAUCAGUCGCAUAUGCUUAUACCCGAACCCGCUAUAACUUGGUAUUCUUGUGCCAGAUUUUUGCCAUUCGGUAAUAGUUAUAAUUGCAUACUUCGAUCUGGGAGUAAUGGUUGUACCAGGAUGCGUCUCAUGUCUUACUUUGUGACAGCAGUUGGUCGCAUUUCAGUGACCGUCAAUUGAACCUUGAACAAGCAACUAAAUAGCAGGUCUUCUUUGGUUGGAAGCACCACAUCUCAUCUGUGUUGCUGCAAAAGCUUUUCAUUAUUGGACCAAGCUUAUGGGAUAUGCAUUGCAGUCAGUAAGGCUGUACAUUGUGUGGAGGGACUGAAUGUGUAUCCUGUUCAGUGCACAUCGACGAAACUGGAUU